ACCUAACACAGUCGACAGUCGAGCGUAUCUCGUACGGAGAAGAGGCGGCGACGGGUGAGUAAACGCGUGGGUAAACCUGCCUCAUACACAUGGAUAACAUACCGAAAGGUAUGCUAAUACAGGAUAACAUAAGAGAUUCACAUGGAUUUCUUAUCAAAGCUCCGGCGGUAUGAGAUGGACCCGCGUCUGAUUAGCUAGUUGGUAAGGUAACGGCUUACCAAGGCGACGAUCAGUAGCCGACCUGAGAGGGUGAUCGGCCACAUUGGAACUGAGACACGGUCCAAACUCCUACGGGAGGCAGCAGUGGGGAAUAUUGCACAAUGGGCGAAAGCCUGAUGCCAGCAACGCCGCGUGAGUGAUGAAGGCCUUCGGGUCGUAAAACUCUGUCCUCAAGGAAGAUAAUGACGGUACUUGAGGAGGAAGCCCCGGCUAACUACGUGCCAGCCGCUGC
rnacentral:rRNA from 1 species